ACACUUGGGUGUGUGAAUGUUUGUGUACUUUUGAGUGAGCAUGUUUCUAACCAAAUCAAUAUCUGUGUAUGUGUUUGUGUGUGUGUGUUUGUAUGCACAUAAGUGAACAUGACUGGUGUGUGUAUGUAUGUGUAUGUGUGUGUGUGUGUGUGUGUGUGUGUGUGUGUGUGUGUGGGUGUUUGUAUGCACAUAAGUGAACAUGACUGGUGUGUGUAUGUAUGUGUGUGUGUGUGUGUGUGUGUGUAUGUGUGUUUGUGUGUCUCUGUGUGUGUGUGUGUGUGUGUGUGUGUGUGUGUGUGUGUGUUUGUAUGCACAUAAGUGAACAUGACUGGUGUAUGUAUGUGUGUGUGUGUGUGUGUGUGUGUGUGUGUGUGUGUGUGUGUGUGUGUGUGUGUGUGUGUGUGUGUGUGUGUCUGUGUGUUGUGUGUGUGUGUGUGUGUGUGUGUGUGUGUGUGUGUGUGUGUAUGUGUGUGUGUUUGUUCUUGGACUAUGCUCUGGCAGCACUGUUAUGAUCAGUAGUGAUGCGUAAGUCUCUCCUUUGCCCCCCCGUGUGUGUGUGUGUGUGUGCUCUUCAGUGACUCUUUCACAGCCUUCAAGUCUUUCAUUAGAGUCUUUCACAGCCUUCGAGUCUUUCAUUAGAGUCUUUCAUUAGAGUCUUUCACAGCCUUAGAGUCUUUCAUUAGAGUCUUUCACAGCCGUAGAGUCUUUCACAGCUUUCGAAUCUUUCAUUAGAGUCUUUCAUUAGAGUCUUUCACAGCCUUAGAGUCUUUCAUUAGAGUCUUUCAUUAGUCUUUCAUUAGAGUCUUUCAUUAGAGUCUUUCAUUAGAGUCUUUCACAGCCUUAGAGUCUUUCAUUAGAGUCUUUCAUUAGUCUUUCAUUAGAGUCUUUCAUUAGAGUCUUUCACAGCCUCAGAGUCUUUCAUUAGAGUCUUUCACAGCCUUAGAGUCUUUCAUUAGAGUCUUUCAUUAGUCUUUCAUUAGAGUCUUUCAUUAGAGUCUUUCACAGCCUUAGAGUCUUUCAUUAGAGUCUUUCAUUAGAGUCUUUCACAGCCUUAGAGUCUUUCAUUAGAGUCUUUCAUUAGUCUUUCAUUAGAGUCUUUCAUUAGAGUCUUUCACAUCCUUAGAGUCUUUCAUUAGAGUCUUUC
ensembl:lncRNA